CGGGACGGGUGAGUAAUGUCUAGGGAAACUGCCUGAUGGGGAGGGGGAUACACUGGAAACGGUAGCUAAUACCGCAUAACGUCGCAAGACCAAAGAGGGGGACCUUCGGGCCUCUUGCCAUCGGAUGUGCCCAGAUGGGAUUAGCUAGUAGGUGGGGUAACGGCUCACCUAGGCGACGAUCCCUAGCUGGUCUGAGAGGAUGGCCAGCCACACUGGAACUGAGACACGGUCCAG
rnacentral:rRNA from 1 species